CUCAUGUUAGCUCCUAGCUGUUACCUAGUGUGCUUGAUGCUACCGCUACAAAGAAGGUAAUAAAAGAAUAUUCACUGCUUCUAUUGUCUUGCAAGUUAAGGAAGGGUCUGAUGUUGUGCGGGCAUGCAUGGUGUGUGCUCUGUGUGUUAUUUGUGCGAGAUGUGAGCUCUGUGAUGCUCUAAAUAGGAGAAUUUGUGUUUAUUGAGAUACCAUAGAUGGGUGCCAUUAGUCUCCUAUUUGUAUUUGGGCUUAUCAAAGUACACCAGGGAGAGCUAUUAUGUAUGGAAGUUCAUGUAUUGAUGCCCCCGGAGUCCAUGUAGCUCUCCUGCCGUGCUGCCCUCAUCGGCCUCGGCUAUGGACGUCAGUUCAAUCCCGUCGCCCCAGGCCGUUCACUGUCGCAGUGACCAGGGCGUUCAUAGAAAAUGUUGAUUAUAUUGAUAAUUAAAACUAGUCUUUGCUCACAUUUGAAUUGAAAAAGAAAAGGAGUCUCUGUGACAAUAAGUUCAUAGAAAAAACAUAAACAAAAUAAACAAAAAACAUGAAACACAAAAAAUCCAUGAAAUAUGCCGGGAAAACAUAGUAAGUUCUAAGAAAAUAAAUAUAGCAGUUCAUAUUUUGAAACGAAUGAAGUAUUUGGGAACUAAAAUGAAGUAUUUCAAAGUACAGAACUCCUGUUUAGGUUUCUUUGUGUACUUCUAAUGUUACUAUGCAUGAUCUUGUCAUUAUUUUUACAUGUUUUACAUGAUUAUGGUUUUUUCGACCUUGACAAAUUUCAUUUCAUCUUCUAUGCUUUUUUUCCGCUCAUCUUAUAGGUCGAAGGAGCUCCCUUCAGUUCAAUGGAUUCAACAAAAUAGCUGCCACUACAUCCUGAGUUCAAGGGAUUCCUUAGGGGCCUUCUACACCGUCUUGCUAAUGUUGCCAUUGCUUGACGCCACAACCAUGCUCGUCGUUCUUGUGCUGCCAUUCACAUACUGCUCCCUGCUUUACUCCACUGAGAUCCAUAGGAAUAAGUUAUAUUCAGUUCGCCACUUUUACAAUUGAUGGUCCUAUGUUAACAAAAACAAUAGUUCAAGCUCCUAAAAAAGCAAUUAUAUGUAUGCUGCAUCACUUUGGGGAACUACAGCAAACAAAAUGAGGAGAGCUUGGUAGUACUUGAUUUUUUAUAGUACUACUUGAACCCUUUCUGUUGAAUAUAUUGGAUCCUAUUUAUUGCAACCUCGUAGAUUGUUGGAUGCAUGUGGUCCUUCUCUUGUGCAUAUUCAGUUUUAAUAAAUGGUGAACUGAAUGGAAAAAAUCAUGCCAUCUAUAGUGAAAGUUCAGCAAAAAAGGAGAGCUCAUUUACGGGUAAAAAUUCAUGUACAUCUAUAGGGAAAGUUCAACUAAAAAUAGAGUUCAUUUACAGGUAAUAAAAAAUUGAUGUACAUAUAAUUGGAUCUGUGUGCAAGAAAGGACAAUGGGUUUGAAUUCACACAAAUAAACCAAUUGAUGAACCUCACAAGUUCGGAUAUGAUGACACAUUCAGUGAUCAACCCCUAAACAUUUCGGACAGUGAAAAAUACCUCAGCACAAACGCAAACAUAUAUCAGUACGAGUACUCUAUUUUUUAGACAGGACAAAACAACACAAUGGGUUUCACCUUAUUCAAAAUUACUCUAAAACGGUUGCGAAGUACAGAAAAUGUUCAACAUGAGUAAGUUUCGCAUUUUUGAUAGCUAUCCAACGGUAUAUUAUUUGCCUCAUUUCGACAAACUUAAAAAAAUCGUGUUCGAAAUCGAAUUUAUCCGUAUUCAAAUUCGUAUUAAAACCAUAAGGAAUUAGAAAAAAACUUUCUAUACGAAACAGUUGCGCAUUUUCCAUAGCUUUCCAACGAUCUAUCAGUUGCGUCAAUCCGACAAACUAUUUGCAAAAAACACAAAAAUACAUUUUUUUUCCAAAUUACUUUGAAAUCGUAUAGAAUUUGAAAAAACAUUAGAUACAUGGAAGAAGCGGAUUUUCACCACUUUACAACGCCAUCUUAUUUGCUCAAUUUCGACAAACCAUUUGAAAAUUAAGUCCAAAAUACGAUUCGCGUUUUUGGUUUGGAAAAAAUGUUUUUUCAGAACUGCUCUUACACCAUAAUAUUUUUGCAAAAAUAAAUUAUAUGAUUGUAAUGUAGAUGUCAAGAGCUUUCCAACAAUAUAUUACACGCCCCGUUUCGACAAAAAAAACUGCAAAAAAAUUGAACUAAAGAAGACGAUUGUCAAAGGAAAAUAAAAGUAUCACUUCAACCGCUCGAAUUCAUCAGUUCAACCGCUCAAAUUCAUCAGUUCAAAUGCUCAAAUUCAUCAGUUCAAGUAGGGUAAUGGAAUAAUAUUCUGUUACGCGAAAUAGAAUAGCCCAGAUGUAUAUAUAGGACCGUACUAUUCUAAUCCCAGGAUUAGAAUAACUAUUUGGAUCACGGAGCCAUAUAUAGGAGCAGCGGAGGUGUUCCCGAACUCACAAAAAAAAGAAAUCCCACCCGAACCCCACGUUCCCCACCUCUCCCUCGCUCUCUCCCUGAUCCCCACCGCCGCCAUCCCCGCUGCCGCGCGCCUCCUCCCUCACAGCUCCUCCCCCACGGCCAGCGGGCCUCCUCCCCACGGCCGGCGUGCCUCCCUCCUCCACCCUCGGCCGACGUGGCUCCUCUCAAGCAGUCGGGCCAAAGGCAAGGGAGUUGCUGCCGCCGCCGCCCUCGCCGGCGUCGUCGUCCUAUGAGGCAUGGGACCUCUCCGACAACAAGGUGGCGCCGACCGCGUCUUGGGCCACCCUGCCCAACAGGCGCUGCUGUACCGCCCGCUGCCGCUCAACGUCGGGAGGUGCACCAGCAUCAUCAUCAGGGAGAAGGCCACCGGGGCCAGAGGCGACGCGCUCUACUCGCUCUACACCAACAUGAGCUAAUCGCCGUCCCCCCUUAGCUUUCUGGGCUUCAAAUUUUCCAAAUCCGGGGGAGAGUAGUGUGAUUAGUUGCUGAAAUUUGUGUCAUAAGGAUUCGUGCAUGCCCGUCUCUCUGUUGUGCGAUUGUAGGAGGGGCCCGACACCGGAGGAGGAGAGGGAGGUCGGAGUCCAUCGUGGCGCAAAACCAGGACGGCGUCUUCUGUAGCUUCGACAAGAACUUCCUCAGAACUAUGGGUGCCAAUCUUGUUGGAUCCAAGUACCCGAUUUGGGGCCAGGUACAUGACGUUCCCCUUCAUGAUUCUCGAUGUCGCUCGCCUGGAUUCCAGACUGAUUUACCAUGGUAGACAUGAACCAAUGAUGAGUAUUAAUGGUCGGUAAGGGAGUCCUGGACUAAGGGGUCCUCGGGCGUCCGGCCUGUUGGCCAUGGGCCGGACUGAUGGGCUUUGAAGAUACGAAGACUGAAGACUGCACCCGUGUCCGGAUAGGACUCUCAUUGGCAUGGAAGGUAAGCUUGGCGACUGGAUAUGUGGAUUCCUUUCUUUGUAACCGACCUUAUGUAACCCUAGAUCCUCCCAGUGUCUAUAUAAACCGGAGGACUUAGUCCGGAUAGGGGACUCAUUAUCAUAGUUAUACAAGCUAGGACUCUAGGGUUUAGCCAUUACGAUCUCAAGGUAGAUCAAAUCUUGCAAUACUCAUAUUCAUCAAUAUCAAUCAAGCAGGACGUAGGGUAUUACCUCCAUAGAGAGGGCCCGAACCUAGGUAAAACACCGUGUCCCUUCUCUCCUAUUACUAUCGACCUUACACGCACAGUUCGGGACCCCCUACCCGAGAUCCACCGUUUUUGACACCGACAUUGGUGCUUUCAUUGAGAGUUCCUCUGUGCUGUCGCUAAAGGUUCUAAUGGCCCCUUCAAUCGUCAAUAAUGACACCGUCCAAGGAGAAACUUUUCUCCUCGGACAGAUCUUCGUGUUCGGCGGCUUCGCAUUGCGGGCCAAUUCGCUUGGCCAUCUGGAGCAGAUCGAAAGCUACGCCCUUGGCCAUCAAGUCAGAUUUGGGAGCUUGAACUACGUUGCGGACAUCUGUGGAGACUUGAUAUUCGCCGGAUUCGAGACCGCGGUAGCCGCUCUCGGUCAUCCCGAUGAUCAUGACCUAAAUCUGUCAUCAGACCGCUUCCAGGAGAUCGCUCCUAUAACCAUUCUGGCCUUAGAACUGGAGCAGAAUGCGUCGUCCGAGGACGGGACUGACUGGGAGUGAUCCCCGAACCAUUUCAUUAAAGGCCAUGGUUUCCCACAAUGCUAAUGCUACUAGAAAGGAGCUAGAGGCCAUGAAGCCUCUUGGCUUCUCCAAUUAGCAUGUUUGGCCAGUCCUGAAGCGCUUCCUCAAGCUCUUCAACAAUAACUGGGCUCCCAUCGAGGACGAGUGCUACCGCAUCCUUAUUGACACCAUAUUGGGUGGCAAAAGUAAUGAACCAAUACCUACCACUACACGUCAUGUAAGAAAUGCUACUUCCGUUUAUUUGGUAGCCUUCCUUAAUUAUCACUUGAUGCUCAGCCUUUCCAAUUGCACUUUUCACAUCAGGUGACGUGCGAAAAAGAGUCCAAGGCUCACAACCCAACACGUGGUCAGACCAGAUGACCAACACCUCUCCUGCUCAGUAUGACAAGGAUGUCAGUGAUAAUGAAAACCUCCCUCACAGCAGAGCGGCGGAGUGCAUACUUGCCAUCUACAUUUCGGAGCCCCAUCAGUUCAGUGUGAUCUCUCCCGGUAAGUUCGUGUAUUGCUAUCUCCAGUGUUCAGAAAGUGUAGAAUGGAUGAUUUAUCUCACCUAUGCAGCUCACAAAUCAUAUGCUUUGUACAAAAAAAGAAACAAAACACUAUGUGUAGGAUUUCAUGAUGUAAUUUAUCAUCAGUUCGUAAAGUAAGCACAAAUACAGUUUCAUGUGUGUUACAGAAAAAACAAUUUGGUUUGUAUAUUAUAUAGUAGUUCACUACGCAUGUGUUGAGGUACAAAUCUUGAUCUGUUGGAGGUUCAAUGCGUCACUCCUGGAAGGGACAUUCUCUCAUUAGUAUAAUGCAAUUUGUUAUUAAAAAUAAUAGUGAUUCAGUAUGUAUUAUACGAGAAAUUCAUAAAAAAAGAAGCAAAAAGCAGUGAUUCAAUAUGUAUUAUACGCCCAUUUUUUUAAUUCAGCACAAGGCUUCCAAACCAUGGUUCAGUUUCAGCACAAAAUCUCGGUUCAACAAAACCCAUGCCGGCUUGGAUAUAUUUUUGUAAUCCAACAGAUGUGAAUGCUAGUCUUCUUACCGACUUACCAAUUAAUAAGUUAUUGGACUGACCAAAACUUUCUGUAGUACUAGUUGACAUCUACUAUUCAUGAUCAAAUUUGAGCUAUAAGUUCCAUUUUUCUUCCUUCCCGGUUUGAUACAUAUUUAGGAAUUACCUUUGUUAACUUUGGCAUCCCCCGACGCCUCGCGCCCCCGAAGAGGCCACACGCUGGAUCUAGUAGGGCAACACUGUUGACACCGACGCCGUAGUCCUCCGGUGUCACCCUUCCCGUCCCUGUCCAAAUAUAGGACUGACACCAGUCCAUCUCUUCCUCGCUUCUCCGUCCAAGCUCCUCGUGCCAUGCUUGAUGGUCAUUUCAUCAUUAUAAAACAUAAUUUUCUUUCGGUUCUGAACAUGGACAGUUCUAGGAACAUUGUUGUGCAAACCAAAAGUGUGCGAUGGAUGUUCUCUUCCCAAUUUUUGUGUUUUGGAGUAAAUCAACAUAGAUUGUGGACAAAGUAGGCUCUAAAUUUUUGCACUGGAUUUAGAGAUAUGAACAAUGAUUGAUUUUGAUCAGUACUUGGUUGUGUGAUAUUUUUGAAACUAGGACGACCUCGUCCUUCGUCUGCUUCUCAUUUCCAGCCACAUCCAGGACGACCUAGAUUUGCUGCCACUAGCUGUUGGUGCACCUCAUGUUAGCUCCUAGCUGUUACCUAGUGUGCUUGAUGCUACCGCUACAAAGAAGGUAAUAAAAGAAUAUUCGCUGCUUCUAUUGUCUUGCAAGUUAAGGAAGGGUCUGAUGUUGUGCGGGCAUGCAUGGUGUGUGCUCUGUGUGUGUUAUUUGUGCGAGAUGUGAGCUCUGUGAUGCUCUAAAUAGGAGAAUUUGUGUUUAUUGAGAUACCAUAGAUGGGUGCCAUUAGUCUCCCAUUUUUAUUUGGGCUUAUCAAAGUACACCAGGGAGAGCUAUUAUGUACGGAAGUUCAUGUAUUGAUGCCCCCCGGAGUCCAUGUAGCUCUCCUGUCGUGCUGCCCUCAUCGGCCUCGGCUAUGGACGUCAGUCCAAUCCCGUCGCCCCAGGCCGUUCACUGUCGCAGUGACCAGGGCGUUCAUAGAAAAUGUUGAUUAUAUUGAUAAUUAAAACUAGUCUUUGCUCACUUUUGAAUUGAAAAAGAAAAGGAGUCUCUGUAAUAAUAAGUUCAUAGAAAAAACAUAAACAAAAUAAACAAAAAACAUGAAACACAAAAAAUCCAUGAAAUAUACCGGGAAAACAUAGUAAGUUCUAAGUAAAUAAAUAUAGAAGUUCAUAUUUUGAAACGAAUGAAGUAUUUGGGAACUAAAAUGAAGUAUUUCAAAGUACAGAACUCCUGUUUAGGUUUCUUUGUGUACUUCUAAUGUUACUAUGCAUGAUCUUGUCGUUAUUUUUACAUGUUUUACAUGAUUAUGGUUAUUUCGACCUUGACAAAUUUCAUUUCAUCUUGUAUCCUUUUUUUCCGCUCAUCUUAUAGGUCAAAGGAGCUCCCUUCAGUUCAAUGGAUUCAAGAAAAUAAUCGCUGCCACUACAUCCUGAGUUCAAGGGAUUCCUUAGGGGCCUUCUACACCGUCUUGCUAAUGUUGCCAUUGCUGGACGCCACAACCAUGCUCGUCGUUCUUAUGCUGCCAUUCACAUACUGCUCCCUGCUUCACUCCACUGAGAUCCAUAGGAAUAAGUUAUAUUCAGUUCGCCACUUUUACAAUUGAUGCUCCUAUGUUAACAAAAACAAUAGUUCAAGCUCCUAAAAAAGCAAUUAUAUGUAUGCUGCAUCACUUUGGGGAACUACAGCAAACAAAAUGAGGAGAGCUUGGUAGUACUUGAUUUUUUAUAGUAC
rnacentral:lncRNA from 1 species